GAUGAACGCUGGCGGCGUGCUUAACACAUGCAAGUCGAACGGAAAGGCCCAAGCUUGCUUGCUUACUCGAUUGCCGAGCGGGUGAGUGACACGUGGGUGAUCUGCCCUUCACUGCGUGAGAAGCCUGGGAAACUGGGGCGAAUACCGGGUAGGACCACAUUUUGGAUGGGGUGGUGUAGAGAUUUUCGGUGUGGGAGGAGCUCGUGGCCGAUCGGCUUGUUGGUGGGGUAAUGGCCUACCAAGGCGUCGACGGGUAGCCGGCCUGAGAGGGUGCACGGCCACAUUGGGACUGAGAGAAGGCCCAGACUCCGACGGGAGGGAGCAGGGGGGAAUCUUGACGGAGGGGCGCCAGCCGGAUGAAGAGAGGCCGCGUGGCGGAUGACGGCCUUAGGGUUGAAAAAUCAUUUCGCUAGGGACGAAGCGUUAUGUGACGGUACCUGGAGAAGAAGCACCGGCUAACUACGUG
rnacentral:rRNA from 1 species